rnacentral:rRNA from 1 species
AUUGAACGCUGGCGGCAGGCUUAACACAUGCAAGUCGAGCGGAGAUGAGGUGCUUGCACCUUAUCUUAGCGGCGGACGGGUGAGUAAUGCUUAGGAAUCUGCCUAUUAGUGGGGGACAACAUUCCGAAAGGAAUGCUAAUACCGCAUACGUCCUACGGGAGAAAGCAGGGGAUCUUCGGACCUUGCGCUAAUAGAUGAGCCUAAGUCGGAUUAGCUAGUUGGUGGGGUAAAGGCCUACCAAGGCGACGAUCUGUAGCGGGUCUGAGAGGAUGAGCCGCCGCACUGGGACUGAGACACGGCCCAGACUCCUACGGGAGGCAGCAGUGGGGAAUAUUGGACAAUGGGGGGAACCCUGAUCCAGCCAUGCCGCGUGUGUGAAGAAGGCCUUAUGGUUGUAAAGCACUUUAAGCGAGGAGGAGGCUACUGAGACUAAUACUCUUAGAUAGUGGACAUUACUCGCAGAAUAAGCACCGGCUAACUCUGUGCCAGCAGCCGCCGUAACAC